rnacentral:rRNA from 1 species
UACGGGGGGGGGCAAGCGUUGUUCGGAAUUACUGGGCGUAAAGGGCUCGUAGGCGGCCAACUAAGUCGGACGUGAAAUCCCUCGGCUUAACCGGGGAACUGCGUCCGAUACUGGAUGGCUUGAGUUCGGGAGAGGGAUGCGGAAUUCCAGGUGUAGCGGUGAAAUGCGUAGAUAUCUGGAGGAACACCGGUGGCGAAGGCGGCAUCCUGGACCGACACUGACGCUGAGGAGCGAAAGCGUGGGGAGCGAACAGG